rnacentral:rRNA from 1 species
AUUGAACGCUGGCGGCAGGCUUAACACAUGCAAGUCGAACGGGCAGCGGACGGGUGGGUGAUUUCUGGGCACCUGCCUGAUGGACCGGGCAAACUGCUGGAACCGGUAGCUACUACCGCUUAACAUCAGUUGUGCCCAGAUGGGAUUGGCUAGUCGGUGGGGUAAUCGCUCACCUAGGCGACGAUCCCUAGCUGGUCUGAGAGGAUGACCAGCCACACUGGAACUGAGACACGGUCCAGACUCCUACGGGAGGCAGCAGUGGGGAAUAUUGCACAAUGGGCGCAAGCCUGAUGCAGCCAUGCCGCGUGUGUGAAGAAGGCCUUCGGGUUGUAAAGCACUUUCAGCGAGGAGGCGUUACUCGAAGAAGAAGCACCGGCUAACUCCGUGCCAGCAGCCGCGGUAAUAC